ACCACAGCCCAAGAAUAUUGAUGCUGUCAAUAUGAAUACAACAAAGAGAAGCUGAAAACGCUCCCUCUACGGUAAUUCUAAUGAAGAGAGAAAACUAUUUGAGUUUGAUAAAACCUAUACUAAGAAGGAAUCUUCUACUCAUGAAGAGUCAUGUGGAUUUCUCAUAAUAUUUAAUUAUGUGGUCAGAAGAAGUGAGUAGGAAAUAUGUUUAAGUUGAUAUCAAUGAUAUGGAAGAAAGCCUUGCGCCAGCCAGAAAACUUCAACAAGAGAUUUUCUAAAAUAAAUGACACUGAGCCAGCACCUGUUCCUGGAAUGAUGCAUAACAUGCAAGAAGCUCUGAGCAAUCAUGUUGAAGAUAUGAACAAAGGCAGAAGUCAGUCAGUGCCUGCAGGUCCCUGUUAGAUAAGUGUACUUCUCACCCUUCACCAAGGAUACUUCUUUCUGCAGUAGAAGGAGAACACGACAGAAAAUCACAACCAAUCAAAAUGCACAGAUUCCAUGAGAAAAACUCGUGUUUCUGAGUUGGUUUGAACAGAAGAAUACACUUAAGAAAAGGAUGGAGACUGAAUGACAGAAAGACCCACGUGACUGUUUUCCCCCAGUUCUUCCCGAUCACCCAGCAGCACAGCGGUUCUCAACAGUUACUUUCUCUGACUCUUCCAGCAGCCAUUCUCCAAUAUGAAACCAGAAGAUGCACCAGAGGCGAGUCUUGUCCUAUUUCUAGUUUCCUGUCACCAAAUGACAUCACUUUUCCCCUUGGACAUCUUAGUCUGGCCUCCCUCUGAGCAGGGAUAUAAAAAAGCAGGCAUAGCAUUGUCCAUGCUUAUAACAUGGAUGAGUAUAAAACACAAUCUAAAAAUUAGUAUGAUAUAUUAGGAAAAAUAAAAUGAUAGAGUGUUAAGUGAGACGGUUUCCCUAAGGAGGAAAACGUCUUGAACAAAAAUGACUUUUAUGAAAUGGUGUAAGAGGAGAAGAAUUUCAAGGGUGCAUGCACAGAAAGGGCUCACUUCCGUGAAGUUAAGACUAAAGAAAUAAACGGAUGUGACUUGGAUUUGGAGGCUGACCUUGAAAUGACCACUAUAGAUUUUAAAGAUAAAUGAAGGAAUAACUGACUGAAGGUUAGGUAUCAAGAUAUUAAUUGGUCAUUAACCACAUCAUAACAAGGUUAACAAAUACAUUUUUC